UACGUAGGCAGCGAGCGUUGUUCGGAGUUACUGGGCGUAAAGGGUGUGUAGGCGGUUGUUUAAGUUUGGUGUGAAAUCUCCCGGCUCAACUGGGGGGGUGCGCCGAAUACUGAAUGACUUGGAGUGCGGGAGAGGUGAGUGGAAUUCCUGGUGUAGCGGUGAAAUGCGUAGAUAUCAGGAGGAACACCGGUGGUGUAGACGGCUCACUGGACCGUAACUGACGCUGAGACACGAAAGCGUGAGUAGCAAACAGG
rnacentral:rRNA from 1 species